UAAGUUAUACAAAUGAUGUACCCCGAAAAUAAAAGAUCUAGGAUCAAUAUGUGGUAUAGUAAUAGAAUUUUUAAUACACUGUUGCAUUAGUGAAAAUAAAUAUAAUCCUAGGGGCGAAAGACCUUCACUUUUAUAGAUAUCUGGAUAAAUAUUAAAUAAAUUUAGUUUAUAGUAUAGUUACAAUGUGAUAAGAUAGUGUAAUAAGAAUUUGUAGUGAGUAUACUAUAGCCCUUAACUAUUACUUAGUGGCGUUUCCUUAGUAACAAUACAGUUACGUAAAAAAUUCAAAAUUAAUAUUUUAUUGCUACAUUUACUUUUGGCAAAAUAAAUAAUGUAUAAAUUAGUAAAUAUAAAAAUUUAAUGGAAGGAAUUCGGCAAAUAAUCUAUACGACUGUUUAACAAAAACAUAGUCAGUAGAAAUUUUAUUAUUGGUGUGACCUGCCCAGUGAAGUUUAAACGGCCGCAGUACCCUGACUGUGCAAAGGUAGCAUAAUCACUUGGCUUUUAAUUGGAGUCUGGAAUGAAAGGAAAAACGUAUAAAAACUGUCUCCAUAUUAAUUUUAUUAAAAUUACUCAAUAAGGUGAAAACUCCUUAAUAGUAAUAAUAGACGAGAAGACCCUUAGAAUUUUAAGAAAACUCACUACCAUGUGUGAGAUGAUUUUUGUUGGGGCAACAUUUUUUCAUAAAAUAAAAAAUAUUAAAUAUUACAAAACGAGUGUGUAUAAUAAAGUUUAAAUUACCUAAGGGAUAACAGCAUAAUUUUAAGAAAAGAUUGUGACCUCGAUGUUGGACUAGGAACUAUUAAGGCUAAUCGUUUUAAUAUAAUAGGUUCUGUUCGAACUUUAUUUCCUA
rnacentral:rRNA from 1 species